rnacentral:lncRNA from 1 species
CUCUCCUGCAUUUCAUCAUCAUCUUCCAUCAUCCCGCAUCUCUUCAGGACAUCACCGAGAACACAAUUC